CCGAUCACCACAAGCCAUGCCUAGGUAAUUGCUAUCCAAUCAUGUAAACAUUGGGAGGGAAUAAAAAACCUUGAAAUAUAUAGAAUAAUCAUCAAUAAGAGUAAGGUAACACGUACAAUCGCAUCUCGCAGAAAGAAAAAGAGAGAAAAAGAUCUAAGAACAGCCUCUUCUGCGGUGAAAGAGCAAUCUCAUCUUUCUAAGUAGCUUCAGCUUUUCAGUUUGUUGGAAGGCAAGGCAACCAAGAAGGAUAAAAAUAGUUCAGUAAAGUGAAAACGGUCUUUUGCCUAGUUGACAAAGAUCCUUUAUUUCACAAAAAGUCUGUCCCACAAAGUGCUUGUUUUCCCUUGUUUCUCUCUCUCUCUCUUUUUCGUUUUCUUCACUGAAAUUAUUCCUUCGAGGUUGCUUAUAAGACCAAUUCCAUCUCUCUUUAUUAUCCAACUUUAAGUUAAAUUAAUCUAUCUAGUCACUGUCUCCUAACAAAAAAUUAGUCAUAAUUAUCAAAUAAUUUUCUUAAUAAUAUUUGAUGAUCUCAACUUAACCCAUAUUAGCACACAGAUAAUUGUUUCCUAAUUUUUGAUGGGGCUUUCUUGGCUCUGACUGAGCUUCACUAGCAAUGAGAUUGGUGACAUGUUUACCAAACCCUCUAUCCUCGUUAUUCAAACUUAAGACAAUUUCCAACUUUUAAAGAUUGGUUUAUUGAAAUAAUAUGGAGACUAGUGGACUAAAUACAUAUAUACCGUCAAAAUUCACCUUUUUUUAUGUUUUGAAAAUUCCCAAUAAAGAGUAGAAUAGAAUUUUCUCCCUUUUUUAUUUUUUUUAUUUUUUUGUGUUUUUUGACCCCCUAAUAAAUGAUUUAAAUUAAUAUAAUAAUGUUUAAAUCUAAAAUUAUAAAAGUAUGUAUAUUAUGGAUUUACACGUAAUGAUUCCAGAAACCCACCCAAAGUCAAACAAGUGGUGGCUUGUGCUAGCAUUAAAUAUAUUAAAUUUAGAUAUUGCUAUUGCUGUUGACUAAUCGUAGAUGACCAGCCGUCCACUAAGCUGAUGCCAACACUAUUCUAGUCUGAAUGGCCACAAGACAGAAAUCAUACUAAUUGCCACCAGAUCAUCAAAUAGAAUACGGCAAACGACGCACACUGGUCAAAUUUCAUUGGUGUACCCAACUUUUCUACUGUAUAACGGACUAGAACCACCCUCCUUUUUCAAAAUAUCAAACUCCCUUUACAAGCAAAAGCGGAAUUUCAAUUUGCAGCUAAAAUUCAUCAACCAAACUCGUUAAACAGAAAGUGGAAAAAGGAUCCAACUUUUCUACUGUAUAACGGACUAAACCCAGCCUCUUUUUUAAAGAUUGGAAACCAUAAAUCAAACUCCCUUUACAAGCAAAAGAAGGAAUUUCAAUUUGCAGCUAAGACUCAUUAACGGAAACUCGUUAAACAGAAAAUAGGAAAAGGAUCCUACAAAACAGCAGAAAAAUAACCAAGCUCAAAAAGAUGCAAGCGAUGAGAUAAAUUUCUUAUUACCCCCAGAAAGGAUAUACAAAUUACAAGGAAAAAGGAAAUCCACCUUCACUCAUUGCUCUAAACUACUAGUGCAAAGUUAGAGGAGCUCUAUAAGGUAAUUCUACUGAAAUCUGCCUAAAAUUCUAAGGGCAUAUCGACCCUAAAAGGCUAAUGUUACAUAGAUACAAACACCACGAGCAACUAGAUUGCCAUGACUUCUUAAAAUAAACAUUUCCCGAGAUGAGAUUGCUAACUGCAUUACAUGGACUGCGAAAAGAGAUAGCCAUCGAACGGAUGCACUAUAAAGAGUUUGUAUAUAUACU